rnacentral:tRNA from 1 species
AGCGGGGUGGCCAAGCGUGGUGAAGUCGCAGGCCUCAUAAGCCUUGAGUACCGGGUUCGAUUCCCGGCCCCGCAACCA